rnacentral:lncRNA from 1 species
AUGCUGCUGCUUGACGUUAAGAGGGCCAAAGACAUGUUUGUUGAUGGGGCGUUGGAUCUCAUUUAAAGGAUUAUCGGCCAAUCAGGCGAGCAGCAUGUCUGUUUUUAACAGCUUUUUGAGAUGCUACUUUUUUAACGAUGAUAACGAAAACCCAAGGUCAAAGUGAACAGUCUAAUGUACAGUGUGUGUCUAACUGGAAUAGCAUGAAAUGCUUUGCUCACUGAGGAAAGGACCCGCUCAGAACGAGAGCUGUUCAGAACGAACUCAUUAACUUAUUGAAUGAAUGGAAUAAUGAGUAACUAAAUGUCUGUAAGGGUGUCACCCAUGUCAGGACUGAGGGUGUAUAGUUGUACUUUUGUCUUCUGUACUCAUUUUAACCUUGAAGCAUGUCUAGAGAGACUAGCGUAGUUUCCUACUUUCCAGCUCUCUAUCAAAGGAAACUCAUAAUGUCCACAAUGUGUAGCAUAAUAUCAACACAAUGUGUAACGUGCUCAACGGUUCACCAAGCUUUAGAGAAAGGUUCCAGUCCUCUUUGAACACGACAUGCGUGUGAGAGGAGACGAUGUUAGUUUUUCCUUUAGCUGAGUUGGAACAGUGCUUUAGAAGUGUCUCACUGUUGUUUUAAACCAGAGACCGAUGUCUUCAGAUGAAAGGUAACUGACCUCAACAUAAUGUCAUUGCUACUACUGAAAUGUAUCUGCUAUGUAACCUGCUUUGCUCUACUUGUCAACCUUCACUUUUACUUAACUCAUUUACAUAUGAGGGCUAUUUCUGUCUUGUUUGUCACCAACCAUAUCCUGAUUUCUCCAUUUCCCUUGAAAUUCAUAAUUAUGUUUAAAGAAAGAACUUCAAAUUAAUAUAAAAUGGCGCCUUUCCAAUUUUUCAAACCAUUAAACUUGAAUUUUGAGAAUUAAGUUGUCCUGUUUGUGUAACAUAUAUCUUUGUACUUUUGAUCCGGCUUCAACCUGCAAUGCACGCAGCAAUCUUAUUUUAAACUCAAUUUGACUGUCAAUGUGGAUGCAUUUUGUUAUCUGUAUGUAGGUGACUUGAGCUAUCUCAGGCAAAAUGAUAAGCAGAGA